AAUAUUCCCGUACUGGUUUACUGCGAAGGGGGGACGGAGAAGGCUAUGUUGGCCGGGCGACGGUUGUCCCGGUUUAAGCGUGUAGGUGUGUGUUCCAGGUAAAUCCGGUUCACUUUAACACUGAGGCGUGACGACGAGGCACUACGGUGCUGAAGCAACAAAUGCCCUGCUUCCAGGAAAAGCCUCUAAGCAUCAGGUAACACGAAAUCGUACCCCAAACCGACACAGGUGGUCAGGUAGAGAAUACCAAGGCGCUUGAGAGAACUCGGGUGAAGGAACUAGGCAAAAUGGUGCCGUAACUUCGGGAGAAGGCACGCUGACACGUAGGUGAAGUGAUUUACUCAUGGAGCUGAAGUCAGUCGAAGAUACCAGCUGGCUGCAACUGUUUAUUAAAAACACAGCACUGUGCAAACACGAAAGUGGACGUAUACGGUGUGACGCCUGCCCGGUGCCGGAAGGUUAAUUGAUGGGGUCAGCGCAAGCGAAGCUCCUGAUCGAAGCCCCGGUAAACGGCGGCCGUAACUAUAACGGUCCUAAGGUAGCGAAAUUCCUUGUCGGGUAAGUUCCGACCUGCACGAAUGGCGUAAUGAUGGCCAGGCUGUCUCCACCCGAGACUCAGUGAAAUUGAACUCGCUGUGAAGAUGCAGUGUACCCGCGGCAAGACGGAAAGACCCCGUGAACCUUUACUAUAGCUUGACACUGAACAUUGAGCCUUGAUGUGUAGGAUAGGUGGGAGGCUUUGAAGUGUGGACGCCAGUCUGCAUGGAGCCGACCUUGAAAUACCACCCUUUAAUGUUUGAUGUUCUAACGUGGACCCGUAAUCCGGGUUGCGGACAGUGUCUGGUGGGUAGUUUGACUGGGGCGGUCUCCUCCUAAAGAGUAACGGAGGAGCACGAAGGUUGGCUAAUCCUGGUCGGACAUCAGGAGGUUAGUGCAAUGGCAUAAGCCAGCUUGACUGCGAGCGUGACGGCGCGAGCAGGUGCGAAAGCAGGUCAUAGUGAUCCGGUGGUUCUGAAUGGAAGGGCCAUCGCUCAACGGAUAAAAGGUACUCCGGGGAUAACAGGCUGAUACCGCCCAAGAGUUCAUAUCGACGGCGGUGUUUGGCACCUCGAUGUCGGCUCAUCACAUCCUGGGGCUGAAGUAGGUCCCAAGGGUAUGGCUGUUCGCCAUUUAAAGUGGUACGCGAGCUGGGUUUAGAACGUCGUGAGACAGUUCGGUCCCUAUCUGCCGUGGGCGCUGGAGAACUGAGGGGGGCUGCUCCUAGUACGAGAGGACCGGAGUGGACGCAUCACUGGUGUUCGGGUUGUCAUGCCAAUGGCACUGCCCGGUAGCUAAAUGCGGAAGAGAUAAGUGCUGAAAGCAUCUAAGCACGAAACUUGCCCCGAGAUGAGUUCUCCCUGAGACUUAGAGUCUCCUGAAGGAACGUUGAAGACGACGACGUUGAUAGGCCGGGUGUGUAAGCGCAGCGAUGCGUUGAGCUAACCGGUACUAAUGAACCGUGAGGCUUAACCUUACAACGCCGAAG
rnacentral:rRNA from 1 species